rnacentral:rRNA from 1 species
UACGGAGGGGGCGAGCGUUAUUCGGAAUUAUUGGGCGUAAAGGGCGCGUAGGCGGCCCGCUAAGUCAAAGGUGAAAUCCCUCGGCUCAACUGAGGAACUGCCUUUGAAACUGUCGGGCUUGAGGCCGGGAGGGGGUAGCGGAAUUCCCAGUGUAGCGGUGAAAUGCGUAGAUAUUGGGAGGAACACCAGUGGCGAAGGCGGCUACCUGGACCGGUUCUGACGCUGAUGCGCGAAAGCGUGGGGAGCAAACAGG